AAAAGGUUAAUAAAGAUUAUAAUUGGACUAAAUCCCCCAAAUAACUUCAGGUUCCUUCAUCUAGUGAAACUGUAGGGCUUGAGCAAAAAGUCAGUUUGGGUUAUCUGCUCUUAGAAUAUAGAUUUCACAGGUAUUAUCUCCCUCUUUUCAGUGAUGAUGUUUGAAAAGAAGAAAUCUCAUACAGUGUUCCUGUUACAAAACAGAAAUGUUGCUUGAUCUGCUCUUCCCCAAGUUUGAGGUCUUAAAUAAAAUCCUGGCAAUGAUGAUCUCAAUAAGGCAACAAUUCCAGCCUACAUUUUCUUCUGGUUGCUCCUGGACUCUGAAAGAAUGACUUCACCAAAAAGGGAUAAAUGUUGCUUUGUAGAGAAAGGGAGAAGAACAGCACUUCUCAAAAUUGCACAGCUCCACAAAUGGGGACUUUCCUCAAGGGGACCACUGUCUCACUGAACAACUAACAGAAAAACAACUGGUACCCUGGAGAUGCUGAGAAUUUAGAAUCCAUGUUGAGAAUUCAGCCUACUAAAAUUUCCAUGAUGUCUGAUGCAUCAGACCUGCAGUGAAGUUUGCCUGUGGGAAAUACCUCCAAAUACAAAAGAGGAUUUGCUUAUCUUGCUACAUGUCAGAUUCCUAUAGAACAUUCUUUCAUCCUUGGCAGAACAGUUUCAAGUGGUCACAGAUGUCAUAUGGAAGCAGCUACCAAACAUGUUGGAAUUACUGAUGAGGGCGUUACUCCUUCAAAGAGCUAUGUCUUGCUUCAUUGCUGCAGUUGCAGUAUAGUUUCAAUGUUGCUGAAGAUUCCAGAAUCCAGAAAACAAAAACUACAUUCAUAAAUGUAGUAGAGUAACUUGUACCACGGUCCUUGGACAAUCCAUGUUUAGUCAAAUAAAGCCUAUUUGUGAUACCAGAAAGGGGUAAGAUAUGCUUUCAAAAUUCAGUAGUCAUUUAUUUAAUUGUAGUAAGUAAUAAAAUGAGUAGGUUC